rnacentral:tRNA from 1 species
AUUUAUAUAGUUUAAAACAAAACAUUACAUUUUCAUUGUAAAAAUAAUAUUUUUAUUUAUAAAUA